AUAACUCUGGCAGCGCGCCUCAUAUGCUAGAGCUUGUGCAAGCAAGUGGAUCAGAAAUAGCUCAGGGUAGAAGAUUUCCAGCGGCGCCUUAGGAAGAAUGAGGCACAAGCCAAUUUUGUAGCCUGAAACGGACUUUCCCCGGCUGGAGAAAGCUCCGAAAAGUAAAAAGAUGCUGAUCAGAAGAAUCAGCUGUGAUUCACUGGAGUCAAGUCUCCUGGGAAGUGUUUCCUCAGAAGCUGUGCUCCAGAGAUGGCCAAGGUUGAACCUCAUGCCGGCAGCUGAACUUGGUUGUGUAAGAGUGACCCAGCUGAUAACUGCUUUAAAGGUAUAAAGGGAUCAUGGACAGCAGCUGAGGCUUGGCCCUGUGUGGCAGGCCUGGAGUCCCUGAAAAGAGCCCAGGAGAGGUGAGAGGUGAAAGUGCAGCCGGGCUGCUGUAGAAGAGCCCAGCGGUUUGGAGAUGCCACUACCAGAGGACAACCACCCAGAACAGCAGCAGGUGUGGAGUGGAGCCAGCCUGAGCCUAGAAGACAAGCUCUGUGUGCUACAGAGGACAGAGCCAGAGAAGAGACCAGGCCCUUUGGAGGAGCGCAGAUCAGGAGAGACUCCCAGACACUGGAGGCCGAGUCAUUUACUGUUGGAACUUGGCUUUGCUUUGUUCUGACUGCGACUGUGGGCUGGUUCUUCUCUCUUGAGGUAAGAGAGUAACUUAUUUUUUGUUUUACAGGAGCAAAUUUUAAUAUUUUAAAGAGACUUUGGACUUUUACUAUUUGAAUUUUAUUUAUUUAUUUCAUGUAUGUGAGUACACUGUCGCUAUCUUCAGACACACCAGAAGAGGUCACCAGAUCCUCAUUACAGAUGGUUGUGAGCCACCAUGUGGUUGCUGAGUAUUGAACUCUGGGCCUCUGGAAGAGCAGUCAGUGCUCUUAACCGAUGAGCCAUCUCUCCAGCCCCACUAUUUGAAUUUUUUAAAGAUUUACUUAUUUUUAUAUGCACUGGUGUUUUUCCAGCAUGUAUAUCUGUGUGAUGUGGCCAGAUCCCCUAGAACUGAGUUGCAGAUAGUUGUGAGCUACCAUGUCGAUGCUGGGAAUUGAACCCAGGUCCUCUGGAAGAACAUCCAGUGCCCUUAACCACAGAGUCUUCUCUCCAGCCCUACUGUUUACAUUUUUAAAGUCUAUGGGACUUUUAAAUUUGGGGAUGUUUUAGACUGUGAUGUCGAUAUUGUGUUAUCUUGGGACUGAACAGAAAGGAAAGGUGACGGCUUAAAACUGAAGUGAUGUGUUUGUGUGUCAAGCUGACAAGGGGUCAGUUAUUCUUGGUAGCCUGAUGUCACCUUGAUACACAGGUUACAGUCAUCCGAGAGAUGGGAACCUCAAUUGAGAGAAAUGAGGUCAGGCUGUAGGGGCUUUCCAUCACUAGUGGUUGAAGGUGGAGCCAUCCCUGGGCUGAUGGUCCUGGGUUCUGUAAGAAAGCAGGCUGAGCAAGCCAGUGAGCAGUGCCCCUCCAUGGCCUCUGAGUCAGCUCCUGCCUCCAGGCUCCUGCCCUGCUGGAGUCCCUGUCCUGACCUCCCUCAGUGAGCACUGUUACCUGGAAGUAUAAGGAACAUAAACCGUUUCCCGACUUGAUGUCGGGCAUGGUGUUUUGUCACAGCAAUAAAAAUCCCAGGACAACAACUAACCCACAGUAAAAAGGAGAAUAAUGAAGAGGCCUAUACACAACUUACAAAGCCUUUCUUAGGCCAUUUUUAUAGACUGGUGUGAGGUGUGGGGUAUAAAUAGAAAAGUUGGUUUUAACAAGUAAAACUGGUUUCCUAUUGCAGUUUACUAAGGCAGAGGUCACAGGCUUUGCUGUUGUUUUAAAAUCUCCUAGGAACUUCUUAUAACAACAAACUUGUAGAUUGCUCUCUGUCUGUGCUAGGGCCUGGAAAUCUCAUUUCACAUAGGUAAAGUAAUCUAAGCUUUAAUAAACAGUCAUCAUUUCAAAGU
rnacentral:lncRNA from 1 species